AUGUCGUUGGAUUCGGACUCCUCUUCGCAGGGAGGCGACCGCCGGAGCUUCCGGCAGAUCACACGAGACCGAUUAUUAUUUGAAAUGCUCAGGUCGACUAGGAAGGAUUCAAAAUCAGCAUGGAAGGUUCUUAUCAUGGAUAAGUUUACGGUCAAGAUAAUGUCCUACUCAUGUAAGAUGGCAGACAUCACAGAAGAAGGGGUUUCAUUGGUUGAAGAUCUAUACAAACGGAGACAGCCAUUGCCUUCACUGGAUGCUAUAUAUUUCAUCCAACCAACUAAAGAAAACGUUGUUAUGUUCCUCUCUGACAUGUCAGGAAGAAGCCCGUUAUACAAGAAGGCGUAUGUGUUUUUCAGUUCUCCCAUACAGAAAGACUUAGUUGCUCAAAUAAAAAGGGAUUCAAGUAUAUUACCUCGUAUUGGUGCACUUAGUGAGAUGAAUUUGGAGUACUUCCCUAUUGAUUCCCAGGGUUUCAUAACUGACCAUGAAAGGGCAUUGGAAGAGCUUUUCUGUGAGAGUGCAGAAGGCUUCAACAAAUACAAUGCUUGUUUGAAUGCAAUGGCUACUCGUAUAUCUACAGUAUUUGCAUCAAUGAGGGAAUUUCCCCGUGUGCACUACCGCAUUGCCAAGACCAUUGAUGCUUCUACAAUGACAACACUAAGGGACAUGGUGCCCACAAAGAUUGCUGCUGGUGUAUGGAAUUACCUCUCCAAAUAUAAAACGUCAAUUCCUGAAUUCCCGCAGACAGAAACUUGUGAACUUCUCAUAGUAGACCGUUCAGUAGAUCAGAUCGCACCAAUAAUUCAUGAAUGGACUUAUGAUGCCAUGUGCCAUGAUCUGCUAUGCAUGGAUGGUAACAAGUACGUACAUGAGGUUUCAAGUAAAAAUGGUUCAGCCUCAGAAAAAAAGGAGGUCCUGUUAGAGGACCAUGAUCCAGUUUGGCUUGAACUUCGACAUUCCCAUAUAGCAGAUGCAAGUGAAAGACUUCAUGAUAAGAUGACACAUUUUGUCUCGAAGAACAAAGCUGCCCAACUACAGCAAGCAAGAGCUGGAGGAGAGCUAUCAACUAGAGACCUACAAAAAAUGGUUCAAGCUCUUCCACAGUACACUGAUCAAAUUGACAAGCUUUCGCUGCAUGUCGAGAUUGCAGGAAAACUCAAUGUCAUAAUAAGGGAGCAAUGUCUUAGAGAUGUUGGACAACUAGAGCAAGAUCUUGUAUUUGGUGAUGCUGGGACAAAAGAAUUAAUCAAUUUUUUCCGAACACAAUUGGGUGUAAGUCGUGAAAAUAAGUUGCGUCUGCUCAUGAUUUACGCAGCAAUCAAUCCAGAGAAGUUUGAAAGCGAUAAGGGUACAAAAAUGAUGCAGUUGGCAGGAUUAUCUGCUGAUGACAUGAUCGCUGUGACUAAUAUGCGCUGCUUAUGCACUGACACAAAAAAGUCCUCAGGAGGAGGUUUUACACUGAAAUUUGAUGUUCAGAAGAAAAAACAUGCACAUAGAAAAGAGCGAACGACGGAACAAUCAGCAUGGGCACUGUCCCGAUUUUAUCCGGUUCUGGAGGAAUUGAUUGAGCAGCUCAGCAAGGGUGAAUUACCAAAAGAUGAAUAUAACUGCAUGAACGACCCUAGUCCCAGUUUCCAUGUAGUACCUACCACUACCAGUACCUCAGCCCGCACAAGCCCAGCUCACUCGAUGAGAUCUAGGAGGACUGGUGGAUCAUGGGCUAGGCCUCGUGGUUCUGAUGAUGGUUAUUCAAGUGAUUCUGUAUUGAAGCAUGCAUCGAGUGAUUUCCAAAAGCAUGGCCAGCGUAUAUUUGUUUUUGUCAUUGGUGGUGCUACUCGAUCAGAGUUACGUGCUGCACACAAGCUUUCAUCGAAGCUGAAGCGUGAGGUCAUCCUUGGUUCGUCCAGCCUUGAUGAUCCACUCCAGUUCAUCACAAAACUGAAGAUGAUGUCCGCCGAAGAGCUAACACUGGACGAUCUUCACAUAUAA
rnacentral:rRNA from 1 species